GAGGAAUAUUGGUCAAUGGGCGAGAGCCUGAACCAGCCAUGCCGCGUGAAGGAUGACAGCGCUAUGCGUUGUAAACUUCUUUUGUACGAGAAGAAACGCUCCGACGUGUCGGAGUUUGACGGUACCGUACGAA
rnacentral:rRNA from 1 species